GCCGCUAUGGUGAAAUUGGUAGACACGCUGCUCUUAGGAAGCAGUGCUAAAGCAUCUCGGUUCGAAUCCGAGUAGCGG
rnacentral:tRNA from 1 species